CCUCGAUGCAAGAAAAGAUGCCUCUUGUCCUGGGACCUGCCAGUGUCUGACUAUUUUAAGCCCUUGGACCUGGUACCUCUUGAGAGAGCUGAAACAUCCUUUUGCCUAUCUUAAUCUGCAGCAAUGGAGGUGCAGAGAGAGAAACAUUUUCCUCAUUCCUUACCUUUCUUUUGGAGCAGGCCCAGGUAGAGUGGUAAGACCUGAGGAAGAAACUUAAUAUCCAGAAUGGCUAUUGGCACACAUAGAGAAAUUUCUACAGAGGACAGAAGCUCGCCAAACAGAAUCUAAGAAAUCACAGAUGACAUAUACAGC
rnacentral:lncRNA from 1 species